UACGAAGGGGGCUAGCGUUGCUCGGAAUGACUGGGCGUAAAGGGCGCGUAGGCGGAUCACGCAGUCAGAUGUGAAAUUCCUGGGCUUAACCUGGGGGCUGCAUUUGAGACGCGUGGUCUAGAGUGUGAAAGAGGGUCGUGGAAUUCCCAGUGUAGAGGUGAAAUUCGUAGAUAUUGGGAAGAACACCGGUGGCGAAGGCGGCGACCUGGUUCACAACUGACGCUGAGGCGCGAAAGCGUGGGGAGCAAACAGGAUUAGAUACCCGCGUAGUCC
rnacentral:rRNA from 1 species